rnacentral:rRNA from 1 species
AUUGAACGCUGGCGGCAGGCCUAACGCAUGCAAGUCGAGCGGAUGAAGGGAGCUUGCUCCUGGAUUCAGCGGCGGACGGGUGAGUAAUGCCUAGGAAUCUGCCUGGUAGCGGGGGAUAACGUCCGGAAACGGGCGCUAAUACCGCAUACGUCCUGAGGGAGAAAGUGGGGGAUCUUCGGACCUCACGCUAUCAGAUGAGCCUAGGUCGGAUUAGCUAGUUGGUGGGGUAAAGGCCUACCAAGGCGACGAUCCGUAACUGGUCUGAGAGGAUGAUCAGUCACACUGGAACUGAGACACGGUCCAGACUCCUACGGGAGGCAGCAGUGGGGAAUAUUGGACAAUGGGCGAAAGCCUGAUCCAGCCAUGCCGCGUGUGUGAAGAAGGUCUUCGGAUUGUAAAGCACUUUAAGUUGGGAGGAAGGGCAGUAAGUUAAUACCUUGCUGUUUUGACGUUACCAACAGAAUAAGCACCGGCUAACUUCGUG